GUCUAUUUCCAGGGGUUUCCUGUCUAUUUCCUGUCUAUUUCCAGGGGGUUGCUACCUUUCUGCUUGCGGGAAAUAGACAGGAAACUCCCUGGAAAUAGGCA